rnacentral:lncRNA from 1 species
UGCCUGCACGCGGUUCCGGGUUCGCAGAUCUGCUGAGGGGCUGAGACUCGACUGGUUUAGGAAGUUGCUUUUGGCUCCCUCCGGUUCCCAGAUCGCCCGCCUUGUCACAUAGAGGUGACCGGGAGGCUGGUGGCUGGGUCAAGUUGGGAGUGGCAGCUCCGGGCUUCGAACUCGCGCUCCGCGCUGGGAAAGGCAUCGUCGAACCCAGAUGACCCAGUCUUUGGUUUGUCCCGAGACCGUGAGCAGGGUCAGUUCUGUGCUUAAUCGCAACAGCCGGCAAUUUGGAAAGAAACAUCUUUUUGACCAGGAUGAAGAGACGUGCUGGAACUCUGACCAGGGCCCCUGCCAGUGGGUGUCACUCGAGUUUCCCCAGCGUGUUCAGAUCACACAGCUGCAGGUGCAGUUCCAGGGUGGCUUCUCCAGUCGACACAGCCGCUUGGAAGGUACCAGAAAGCUGUGAGAGGUGGGGUGUCACUGGAACUCUCUGGAUUCUUAGUCCCCUUUCUCCACUGCAGGUUCACGUGAUGGGGAAGCCCUCAGCAAGAUUGUAGAUUUCUACCCUGAGGAUACCAAUGCCCUUCAAACCUUCUCCAUCCCCACCAUGGAGGUGGACCGGCUGAAGUUGACUUUUGAGGAUACCACCGACUUUUUUGGCCGUGUAGUCAUCUACCACCUGCGGGUGCUGGGUGAGAAGGCAGGGUGAGAAGUAUCGGCGGUUACUUCCUCCAGGAAGCCCCACUGGGAGGCACC